CUUGCUUCUCAGCCUUUUGGCUAAGAUCAAGUGUAGUAAUAAUAUAGAAACAGAAAAACUAUUCUCCAUCCACU